CCUACGGGAGGCAGCAGUGGGGAAUAUUGGACAAUGGGCGAAAGCCUGAUCCAGCAAUGCCGCGUGAGUGAUGAAGGCCUUCGGGUCGUAAAGCUCUUUUACCAGGGAUGAUAAUGACAGUACCUGGAGAAUAAGCUCCGGCUAACUCCGUGCCAGCAGCCGCGGUAAUACGGAGGGAGCUAGCGUUGUUCGGAAUUACUGGGCGUAAAGAGUACGUAGGCGGUUAUUCAAGUCAGAGGUGAAGGCCCGGGGCUCAACCCCGGAACUGCCUUUGAAACUAGAUAGCUAGAGUCUUGGAGAGGUUAGUGGAAUUCCGAGUGUAGAGGUGAAAUUCGUAGAUAUUCGGAAGAACACCAGUGGCGAAGGCGACUAACUGGACAAGUACUGACGCUGAGGUACGAAAGCGUGGGGAGCAAACAGGAUUAGAUACCCUGGUAGUCCACGCCGUAAACGAUGAUAACUAGUUGUUCGGUCACUUGGUGACUGAGUGACGCAGCUAACGCAUUAAGUUAUCCGCCUGGGGGAGGUACGGUCGCGAGAGUAAACUAACAAAGAAAGUAGACGCGUGUAGACGUUGCGAACGACGACGACGAGGGAGGAGG
rnacentral:rRNA from 1 species